rnacentral:piRNA from 1 species
UGGUGUUUCACUUCUUGAUCUUCCGAAAGU